CAUGUCUUUUUGAUAAUAAUUUAAAGUCUGACCUGCCCAAUGAGGAAUUUAAUGGCCGCAGUAUUUUGACUGUGCAAAGGUAGCAUAAUCAUUAGUUUUUUAAUUGAAAGCUGGUAUGAAUGGUUUGAUAAGGAAAAUUCUGUCUCAAUAUAAAUGAUUUUGAAUUUUAUUUUUAAGUUAAAAAGCUUAAAUUUUUAAAAAAGACGAGAAGACCCUAUAGAGUUUUAUAUUUUUAUAAUAAAUUUAUUUAAGAUUUAAAUUAAUUUUAUUAAAAUAAAUAUUUUAUUGGGGUGAUAGAAAAAUUGAAUUAACUUUUUUUAUAUAUUAAUAUAAAUUAAUAAGUAUAUGAUCCUAUAUUUUAGAUUAUAAGAUUAAAUUACCUUAGGGAUAACAGCGUAAUUUUUUUAGAGAGUUCUUAUCGAUAAGAAAGAUUGCGACCUCGAUGUUGGAUUAAAGUUAAAUUUUGGUGUAGAAGCUAAAAUUUUAAGUCUGUUCGACUUUUAAAACU
rnacentral:rRNA from 1 species